GACGAACGCUGGCGGCGUGCUUAACACAUGCAAGUCGAACGAUGAAGCCCAGCUUGCUGGGUGGAUUAGUGGCGAACGGGUGAGUAACACGUGGGUGAUCUGCCCUGCACUUCGGGAUAAGCCUGGGAAACUGGGUCUAAUACCGGAUAUGACCAAGGACUGCAUGGUUUUUGGUGGAAAGGUUUACUGGUGCAGGAUGAGCCCGCGGCCUAUCAGCUUGUUGGUGGGGUAAUGGCCUACCAAGGCGACGACGGGUAGCCGGCCUGAGAGGGGGACCGGCCACACUGGGACUGAGACACGGCCCAGACUCCUACGGGAGGCAGCAGUGGGGAAUAUUGCACAAUGGGCGAAAGCCUGAUGCAGCGACGCCGCGUGAGGGAUGACGGCCUUCGGGUUGUAAACCUCUUUCAGCAGGGACGAAGCGCAAGUGACGGUACCUGCAGAAGAAGCACCGGCCAACUACGUGCCAGCAGCCGCCGUAAGAC
rnacentral:rRNA from 1 species